CAAAUUCCAGAUUUUCUCAAACAAAAGGAACCCUGAUGUGGAAGGAGCUGCAAUCAGCCAGAUGGAAGAGAGGUGUGGAUUGCCAAGAUUGGAAGUACCCUGCCAAGUACCACAAGGUCUUUGCAUCUGACUUUAAGCCUGGUUUCCCGUUUCCUUGUCAUACUGUGUAAAGACACAGUUUUCCAUUUUCGAGCUAUCUCACUACUGAGGGUGACGUAUAAUUCAGUCUGGUCAAAGAAAUGUAGGCUACAACCUCAUGGCUUCAGGCAACAAGCAAGAAGAUGAAAGCCAGGAAGCCAAGUUGGAGAAAAAAGAAACUUCCUGUUCAAGCAGAUCAACAGCCCAGCCAGGAAAAGGACUAUUUUAAAAAGAGGAGGCCAGGUCUAUAAAGAUACAAGAUAUCCUCCUGAAGUCUUUGUGCAAUUCGAAGCUCCCAUACUUGUAGAAAUAUAAACGCUACAAGCUUACAAAACAUCACCGGAGAGUCCACCUGAAUUUCCUCCAAACUCAUCUAGCUCUGCAAAUCCUAAACAUUAAGCUCUCAAUUUUAAUCCUUUGUUUCAGCCUAUUGUUUGCCAUCUUCAAGAGGGACUGAAACAAAAAAUUCAAAUUAAAAGCCCAACAUCCAAGAUCUACAAAACCAAAUGAGUUUAGAAGAAACCUAAGCAAACCUUCAAGCGACAUCCUGCGUCUGUAGCAUCCAUACUUCUGCGGCAGUGUCCUGGAGUGUCCAAGCACACUGUAUCAAAGCUUAAAAUUGCACCAAGACUUCUGGGACACCCUCUAUUUCACUAUCUGCUUAUUCCUGGACUAACAGGUUGGCUGGAAUUAUGAAAAUAUCCUUUAAUACAAGUAUUUAACAAAGAGGAAAAUCAUCAGAAAAUGAGAAGCACCAUUAGAGUUAACAAGA